rnacentral:rRNA from 1 species
GAUGAACGCUGGCGGCGUGCCUAAUACAUGCAAGUCGAGCGAACAGACGAGGAGCUUGCUCCUCUGACGUUAGCGGCGGACGGGUGAGUAACACGUGGAUAACCUACCUAUAAGACUGGGAUAACUUCGGGAAACCGGAGCUAAUACCGGAUAAUAUAUUGAACCGCAUUGUUCAAUAGUGAAAGACGGUUUUGCUGUCACUUAUAGAUGGAUCCGCGCCGCAUUAGCUAGUUGGUAAGGUAACGGCUUACCAAGGCAACGAUGCGUAACCGACCUGAGAGGGUGAUCGGCCACACUGGAACUGAGACACGGUCCAGACUCCUACGGGAGGCAGCAGUAGGGAAUCUUCCGCAAUGGGCGAAAGCUUGACGGAGCAACGCCGCGUGAGUGAUGAAGGUCUUCGGAUCGUAAAACUCUGUUAUUAGGGAAGAACAAAUGUGUAAGUAACUAUGCACGUCUUGACGGUACCUAAUCAGAAAGCCACGGCUAACUACGUG